rnacentral:rRNA from 1 species
GAUGAACGCUGGCGGCGUGCCUAAUACAUGCAAGUCGAGCGAACAGACGAGGAGCUUGCUCCUCUGACGUUAGCGGCGGACGGGUGAGUAACACGUGGAUAACCUACCUAUAAGACUGGGAUAACUUCGGGAAACCGGAGCUAAUACCGGAUAAUAUAUUUAACCGCAUGGUUCAAUAGUGAAAGACGGUUUUGCUGUCACUUAUAGAUAGAUCCGCGCCGCAUUAGCUAGUUGGUAAGGUAACGGCUUACCAAGGCAACGAUGCGUAGCCGACCUGAGAGGGUGAUCGGCCACACUGGAACUGAGACACGGUCCAGACUCCUACGGGAGGAAGCAGUAGGGAAUCUUCCGCAAUGGGCGAAAGCCUGACGGAGCAACGCCGCGUGAGUGAUGAAGGUCUUCGGAUCGUAAAACUCUGUUAUUAGGGAAGACCAAAUGUGUAAGUAACUAUGCACGUCUUGACGGUACCUAAUCAGAAAGCCACGGCUAACUACGUG